rnacentral:rRNA from 1 species
GACGAACGCUGGCGGCGUGCUUAACACAUGCAAGUCGAACGGAAAGGCCCCUUUGGGGGUACUCGAGUGGCGAACGGGUGAGUAACACGUGAGUAACCUGCCCUUGACUUCGGGAUAACUUCAGGAAACUGGGGCUAAUACCGGAUAGGAAUCCUUGCUGCAUGGUGGGGGUUGGAAAGCUUCGGCGGUUUUGGAUGGACUCGCGGCUUAUCAGCUUGUUGGUUGGGUAGUGGCUUACCAAGGCUUUGACGGGUAGCCGGCCUGAGAGGGCGACCGGCCACAUUGGGACUGAGAUACGGCCCAGACUCCUACGGGAGGCAGCAGUGGGGAAUAUUGCACAAUGGGCGGAAGCCUGAUGCAGCAACGCCGCGUGCGGGAUGACGGCCUUCGGGUUGUAAACCGCUUUCAGCAGGGGCGAAGCUUGUGGUGACGGUACCUGCAGAGGAAGCACCGGCUAACUACGUG